ACACCGCUCGAGCCCCACGGCUCGGUGUUGGGACGCUAGGGGCUUCCGGCCUCUAGGUCCCCAAAGGUAUCGCGCGGCCCCAGGCACAGGACCCGAGCACAGUAAACACUCUGUUGAGCUGCUCCGGGACGCUGGCCCGAGGCGCCUGCCGUAAAACCCCCGACAUAGGCCCCUACGGGCCGACUGAUG
rnacentral:misc_RNA from 1 species